rnacentral:lncRNA from 1 species
AUUCUGUUUCUUCAUGUCUUUAUGAAACCUUCAGUUCCACGAUACCUUCUGGACGUAAACAAUGACAGUCCUUUUUGUCCUCAUUCCCUGGAUCCUCCUCUCUUUGGAGACAGACCCUGGACAUGCAGUCUCCUCUGUUGAUCACUUCGUCUUAGAAGGAGGACAGAUUCAUCUUACUGUGGAGGGACACCAGCAGCUGCAGUUCAGAAGAUUUUCUUGGAAGUUCAAUUCAACAGUCAUACUGGAGUACACAAAUUUGACUAUGCAUGAGGAAUAUUUGUCAUACUAUAAACAAGCAAAGAUGAAAUUUAAUUCCACAGACCUUUCUCUGUUCAUUAAGAACGUGGAGGAGUCUGAAAUGGGCAUCUAUACUGCUGUCAUAGCUAAUGCUGAGGGGAAAGAAAUCGUGGAACACAAGUACAACCUACGUGUGCAAAAGGCUGUUCCCAAACCCACCCUAAAUCUGAAAGAAUUCCACCUGAACUUCACUGAAAGAUUCUGCAACGUGUCAGUGAACUGCUCAGUCGGAGGCAGCUGGGUCUCGUACAGCUGUGAUUGGUUCCAGUGCACAGAGUUAGAAAUGUCCACUUAUUUAGAAGUAAAUAUCACGGUUACCUCUCGCAAUGGAGCUGUUGUCUGUAUGGGCAGCAAUCGUGUCAGCAAUGCCUCCGAGUCAAAACCAGUGGAGCUUGCGUGUGUGAAAAACCACACAUCCAAGCUCUCCCAAGAAAUAUAUACUGUGAUAGCUACAAUCUGUGCGUUCCUAAUAAUUGUUGCGUUCAUAUAUGUAGUUAAACGACACAACGUUUCUCACAAACAUACUAUCACACAGAGCAAUGGCUCAACAGAAACGGACACCUUUUACUCAAUUCCAAGGAGCCAAAGAAUGCAACAGGAGCUAAAUGACAGCCAAGCAAAACCAGAAACUGUAUAUGCCACACUGGGACAACCACCACAGCAAGUGGCCCACACUGCAGUAAUACCAAGACUGGAAGAUCCUGUGUCUUUGUACAGCGUGGUGAGGAAGUGACUUGGCCUUUUUCACCUUGUGCUGAAAGCUGCAUAGGAGCUUUAGAGUGCCGAUGCUUUGAACACCUCUUAUGCUCUCUUCCGGGCUUCUGUUGAAAACACCCAAGUGGCAUAAAUAACUCAAAGUGUCAGCAGACAUAAUCUACUAGGUUGUAUGCCAUUGAAUGUGUAGAUGAGUGUGGGUGUGUGUGUGUGUCUGUGCGAUUUCAACAACUGCCUCCGAAUGGCCAUUUAAAACCUGAGAACUAUAAAUCUUUGUAUUAAUAUUGGUAUUUACCAUGCAACUGUUACAUGACAUGACUGUUGUACGUUCUGCCAAUGGGCAAAUUGUGUAAUUUUGCUUGAAGAAUUAAGUCAUGUAAUGUAAUUACAAGUAAUGUAAAGUGGAAAUUAAAGUCAGUAUACAGCAAUUUCUUAAUAAAAAACCAUUUUCUACCUACUGUAUCUAUAAA